GAUGAAGAACGUAGUGAAAUGCGAUAAGUAAUGUGAAUUGCAGAAUUCAGUGAAUCAUCGAAUCUUUGAACGCACAUUGCGCCCCUUGGUAUUCCGAGGGGCAUGCCUGUUCGAGCGUCAUUACACCACUCAAGCACCGCUUGGUAUUGGGCAUCGUCCGUCGAAAGGCGGGCGUGCCUCGAAGACCUCGGCGGGGUUUCUCCAACUUCGGGCGUAGUAGAGUUAAAUCAAAACGUCUUAUAAGCUUGGUGAGAUCUCAUUGCCGUUAAACCUUUUAUUUUUUCAGGUUGACCUCGGAUCAGGUAGGGAUACCCGCUGAACUUAAGCAUAUCAAUAAGCGGAGGA
rnacentral:misc_RNA from 1 species